rnacentral:sRNA from 1 species
ACGGACAUGAUACUGUGGGCUUCAACCACAAACCACUAAUUGUUGUUCCAGCACGUCAUAAGUGUCGUGUCACAAAAGAAAUCAUCAAUAAUCGGGUUCAAGCUGCAGUGACCAACACGCCACUCACCCAAGUCUGAAAUCUGAGUAUUUGCUGGUGUUGCCCUGGGAGCCAGAUUGCCUCAUCCGCCCUUAUCUUGCCCCAUUUUUUGCAACAAUAGGUGUUUCGGUUCAAUGAGGGCUGAUUGGGCCAUUUCUGAUUUUUAUGAACUAUGGGGGCCGCCAAUAUCGCCAAUAUCGCCAAUAACGGAAUGGGAUCAGACAAGGAGGGAUGAGGCUAAUUACACCCAGCCAAAAGCCGUUGAUAUUUUAUAGAUUUAGUGCAUACACUUUCAUUGCAUCUCCAAAAAAUCAGAGUAUACG